rnacentral:tRNA from 1 species
GGUGUAGCUCAGUUGGUAGAGCACCUGACUGUUAAUCAGGUUGUCACAGGUUCGAGCCCUGUCAC